UGGGGAAUCUUGGACAAUGGGCGCAAGCCUGAUCCAGCCAUGCCGCGUGGAUGAUGAAGGCCUUAGGGUUGUAAAAUCCUUUCGUUGGGACGAUAAUGACGGUACCCAAAGAAGAAGCUCCGGCUAACUUCGUGCCAGCAGCCGCGGUAAUACGAAGGGGGCUAGCGUUGUUCGGAUUUACUGGGCGUAAAGCGCGUGUAGGCGGAUUUGUAAGUUGGGGGUGAAAUCCCGAGGCUCAACCUCGGAACUGCCUCCAAAACUACAAGUCUGGACCUAAGUAGAGGCAAGUGGAAUUGCGAGUGUAGAGGUGAAAUUCGUAGAUAUUCGCAGGAACACCAGUGGCGAAGGCGACUUGCUGGACUUAUGGUGACGCUGAGACGCGAAAGCGUGGGGAGCAAACAGGAUUAGAUACCCCCGUAGUCCCUGAGCGGGCUGGCAAGGCGCAU
rnacentral:rRNA from 1 species